CCGUGCCCCCAUGGAUUCCAGAAACCCGCGGCCCGGAGUCGCGGGGCGUCCCGAGGGAGACCUGGCCCCUGGUGGGAGGCGGGCGCUCCUCGAGGGCGGGGAGUUGGCGGGAAGAGGACGAGGCCGCGCUCACCGGAUUCAGACCCAGAAACCACUUCCUCCAGGCAUCCCGGCAAGAAACGGGCUUCGGAGACGGCGGCCACCCCUCUCCCUGCCUAGGAGUGCGCCCGCCGCAGCACCCGGGGCCUGAACGCAACGGGAGCUCCAGAGCCCGCGAGUCCCAGAGCUCAGGAUGCAGGAUCCGUUCCUCUUGAGGCCUACCUGGGAAUUCCGUGAACGUCAAGCCAAAGUGGGACCCUAGGGAUUCGCUGACCCGGUUCUGGAUUCACGCCAAUUGCCUCUCAUUUCAGAGAACAUUGAGGUAGCCAAGGUUUUCCAGAAGCCUCGCCCACUGCAUCUGUGCUCUCCUGCUCGGUGUUUCCUCCUCCAGCACCAAGCUCCGGGUGCAGCCUCCUCUCUACCUGAGAUGCGACCUCACACCUCCGUUUGCUCCAGGAGCAGCUCCAGCGGGUCCCCCUCCGCUCCUCUGCACCUGCAGCAUCCCCUCCCAGCUGGGGUGCUCCCAUUAGCAUAUUUAAGCACAAGCAUACCUGACACCACUGCUGGGAAACACAUCCAUAGAUGUAUGGAAAAACUCCUCAAGCUCAGACACUUAGAAAACCCCAAACGAGAUUCAUCUUCUGAAAAUACUCCUGCUGUGAUAACAAUGGCAGGAUCUAAUGAUAGGGAGAAAAUUGCUUCUGCCACAUUUCUGUUACCCGUUUGUUCCUGAUGUUUCUCCCCAGUAUUUGACGAUUGACGUCAUCCAAGAACCCUUACGGAAGAGGACCUGGUCGCCUGUUUGAACUGAGCUUUCUUAGGGAAGCGGAGCUUUUAAUUUACUUUAUAGAAAUAACUGCGUGUAGUACUCCUAGAAGAUGGGAAAUCUGAAACAUGAAAAUUUUCAGUAUUUCUCUUCAUAUGACUUGCAAAAAUGAACUCUUUCCUGUACUUAGAGAUCUUAAAGUUUCAUUGAUACAUUGAAAACAAAACUAACGUUUUAAAUUAUAUACACACAUGCCCAUAAACAUAUACAUACUUAACAUACGUACAUGUUUAUAUGAAAUAUCUCACAUUUGCAUGUAUAGACAUUAUUGAGCAAAAAUACCAGAAAUAGCCAAUGCUUUUGUUUUCUCAAUAAAACAAUGAAGUCCUUCAGGAACUUUCAAAGGGGUUUACUUAUGCAUAAUUUUGCAGUCACUGGCCUGCUCUAAAGAAUGGGGAACACUCAGACUUGCAAUGGACAGAAAGGAAGUGCCCAUGUAUUGCCUUUGCUGUAUUAGCCUGUGCCAUAAUUAUCCAGCAAUGAAAGAAAUAGAGUUGUGAUGCUUAAAAUAGGGUUGUGGAUAAAAGAGAAUUUAUUAUUCUACAUUCACAGAAUUUAUGAAUCUCUCCCAAUGUCAAGAUAUUUCUAGCUCUCCUCUUUUUAUCCAGCUCUGGAAAAAAGGGCAAAAUCAUUAAACUCAACUAGGAUUCAAACCAAAAUCAUUAAACUCAACUAGGACUCAAACCAUAAAGCACACUUAACUAUGGGAUCAUAUCAGUCAACUAGUUUCAGUUUAAAUAUCACUUGAAUUAUAAGCUCUACCUCUUUUCUCUUGUGUAUAGCUGACUCCUGUACAUCCUUCACAUUUCAAACAAGUUACUUGCUCUAUUCCCAGCAUCCAUUGCUAGCACAACUCUUAAAAUAGAGCACAUUCUUGGCCUAUGAGAUGAGAACUGCAGUCUUCAAAAUGAUGAUCAUGGGGUAUCAAAGAGAGCGAGUUAUGAUGAGUUAUCCUCUACUCCCUACCACAGGAAAUGGACCUAUCUCAUUUAAACUUUACUUCAUUAAGAUCUAACAAUGCAGGACUUUUCUUCUUAAUUCUCAGUUCGCUAGAACAAACCCUUCUCUCAGCAUUUCUGUUAUUAAAGUUCACUGGAAUGCUUAAAUAAAAGAGGACCCCUACCUUUUAUAUAUUGUAAUUAAGCAACAAAGCUGACAUCUUUCUAAAAUACAUAUGUGGUAAAGCAGAAUCAACAUUGCACUAGGAGACUGGAAAAAAACAUGAAGGUUUUUGAUAUAUACUACUUAUAUAAACUUGAGCCAUCUUUUUAUUUCUUUCAACUUCCAUAUCCUCAACUGUAAUAUGGGGCUUAGCCUCUAUAGCCAAAAACUGUUUGGGGCUACAAGGAAUUAAUUAAUAUGAGAGUCCUUGGAUAUUUCUAAAAUACAAUAAAAGUGCAAAAGAUUA